rnacentral:tRNA from 1 species
GGAGCUGUAGUUCAAUUGGUAGAAUAGUAGAUUCCAAUUUUUAUCUCCAUCCUCCCGUUCGAGGGAGGAGGGGGUUUCUUGGAUUAUCUAUUGGUCGCAGGUUCGAUUCCUGUCAGCUUCA